AUUACCCCUCACCCCCCCACUAAUUAACUGUAUUUAUUUCAUGAUCAAUACAAAUGUAAGCAAGCUCUUGAUCAUACAUAUGAUGUUUGAAGAUCCUGUUUCUUGGGGUUAUUUCCUCCUUGUUCAAGCAAGCAGAGGAGGAGAAAGAGGAGGAGCAGAGAACAAAAAUAGGAGGAGGAUGACGACUGGACUGGUCUGUGUAGCUGACUUGCAUGGGAUGCUGAUGCUGUUGCAUGCUGCCUCCAUCCCUCACUCUCCCUCCUCUGUGGCAGGGGGAGAGGGAAAAAAAAAAACAAGGAGUGGUUGUGUGAUUCCCGCUUAGCGCGUGAGACAGAGAGAAACGGCAUGAAGGGUAGAAGAAGAGGAGGAGGUGUGGUGAGGGGAUGCCCUCCCCCCCAACACCUACACACACUCCGGCAUGGAUCCAAUGUGGAACAAACGGAGCGGCUUCUUCUCCGAAGCGGUCGGGAGUGGUGCUGUCUGCUUACAACAACACAAAAGAGGAUGAGGAUGAAGAGGAUGAGGGCGAGGGCCUCUUGGCUCCACUCUCGACCACGUGUAUUCUUGGGUUGAUAAUACAGAUGUGGAUGUUAUUGCUUAAGAAUACGCGUAGUCGAGUGGAGGCUUUGUCAACCAAAGGUCCUUCGGAAUAAAAAAAGGCACACUCGCGGGUUUAUGAAGCGUGUCCCUCUUAGCACCUGUAGAGGAAAUGAGUUUGCGCGCAUCUCCUGCGAGAGGCGCUGCCGGCGACGACCUCCUAACACUAAGCUCAACUCCCCACAGGGUUUAUUAGUUCAGAGAGAUGAACGCUCCAGUCACACGUUCAUUACAAACCUUCGACUACUCAGUCACUUGUGCCCUCCAGGAGAGACAGUGAGAGAGAGACUGUAAGCCUAUUAUUGGUGAGCAGCUCAGAUGGCCUGUUUUUGCAUGAAUGGAGUAGGAUUUUGCACAAAAACGGCAUUCUAUUUUGUCCAAAAUUAUUUACCAAGCCUCAUAUUGACGUUUUUGAAAGCAUAUCGUCAUUUACCAAGACUGUACUCAGCCGAUGCACUAAUGAAACCGUGUCAACUGAUGGAAAAGCUAGUUUAAAAUAACUUAGUUCAGCCUCCAGAAUCCCUCACCAUACACUGGCCAAUGGACUUACCCGGGCUGUUUUUUCCUCUUUUGGUAAAGUUUAAAAUCUAUCCGUAUUCUGUUGUACCCGGUAGCUAGCACUAAGCUGACCUGGGAGGGUUUGUUCCCCCAGUUCAACAUCCAAAUUUGCAGACUCUUUGCUAGGACAGUGUCAGAGGGCAACAGUGAAGCAAAGACAAUGACAUCGAUACACUGCCUAGAAAGGCUUUGUUGACUGAUUGCUUAGCAAUUUAAUGUAAUGGUCAUUCACGUGCAAACACUUUGGGUUGUCAUGUUGAAAGAGAGCCUUUCACACGAUGCUGUGCACCUCUCACAACCACUCGGUGAGUAUGUCACACUACAUACAUGGGCUGAUGCGUCAAGACAACAGAGAAAGGUACAUGGCUGCUCAAUACAAUACUGCUAAGCUGCAUGAGUAAUAAAAUGAUUCGAACAGAAUCGACAUCACAA